CCUACGGGAGGCAGCAGUGGGGAAUUUUGCACAAUGGGGGGAACCCUGAUGCAGCGACGCCGCGUGAGCGAAGAAGGAAUUCGUUUCGUAAAGCUCUGUCCUAUGGAAAGAUAAUGACGGUACCAUAGGAGGAAGCCCCGGCUAACUACGUGCCAGCAGCCGCGGUAAUACGUAGGGGGCGAGCGUUGUCCGGAAUUAUUGGGCGUAAAGGGUACGCAGGCGGUCUAAGAAGUCAGAUGUUAAAGCGUAGGGCUUAACCCUAUAAAGCAUAUGAAACUGAUAGACUUGAGUAAAGGAGAGGAAAGUGGAAUUCCUGGUGUAGCGGUGAAAUGCGUAGAUAUCAGGAGGAAUACCGGUGGCGAAGGCGACUUUCUGGACUUUAACUGACGCUGAGGUACGAAAGCGCGGGGAGCAAACAGGAUUAGAUACCCCGGUAGUC
rnacentral:rRNA from 1 species